rnacentral:rRNA from 1 species
UACGUAGGGACCGAGCGUUGUCCGGAAUCAUUGGGCGUAAAGAGCGUGUAGGCGGCCCCUUAAGUCCUGCGUGAAAUCCUGCGGCUCAACCGCAGACGGUCGUGGGAAACUGGAGGGCUAGAGUGCGGGAGAGGAGAGUGGAAUUCCUAGUGUAGAGGUGAAAUUCGUAGAUAUUAGGAAGAACACCAGUGGCGAAGGCGGCUCACUGGCCCGGUACUGACGCUGAGGUGCGAAAGCGUGGGGAGCAAACAGG